rnacentral:rRNA from 1 species
GGGGCUCCUUGGUGAUUCAUAAUAACUUAACGAAUCGCAUGGCCUUGUGCCGGCGAUGGUUCAUUCAAAUUUCUGCCCUAUCAACUUUCAAUCGUAUGGUAUUGGCCUACGAUGGUUUCAACGGGUAACGGGGAAUUAGGGUUCUAUUCCGGAGAGGGAGCCUGAGAAACGGCUACCACAUCCAAGGAAGGCAGCAGGCGCGCAAAUUACCCAAUCCCGACACGGGGAGGUAGUGACAAUAAAUACUGAUACAGGGCUCUUUUGGGUCUUGUAAUUGGAAUGAGUACAAUUUAAAUCCCUUAACGAGGAACAAUUGGAGGGCAAGUCUGGUGCCAGCAGCCGCGGUAAUUCCAGCUCCAAUAGCGUAUAUUAAAGUUGUUGCAGUUAAAAAGCUCGUAGUUGAACCUUGGGCCUGGUUGGUCGGUCCGCCUCACCGCGUGCACUGAUCCGACCGGGCCUUUCCUUCUGGGGAGCCGCAUGCCCUUCACUGGGUGUGUCGGGGAACCAGGACUUUUACUUUGAAAAAAUUAGAGUGUUCAAAGCAGGCCUAUGCUCGAAUACAUUAGCAUGGAAUAAUAGAAUAGGACGUGUGGUUCUAUUUUGUUGGUUUCUAGGACCGCCGUAAUGAUUAAUAGGGAUAGUCGGGGGCAUCAGUAUUCAAUUGUCGGAGGUGAAAUUCUUGGAUUUAUUGAAGACUAACUACUGCGAAAGCAUUUGCCAAGGAUGUUUUCAUUAAUCAGUGAACGAAGUUAGGGGAUCGAAGACGAUCAGAUACC